CCCAUCUCACAGAAUCCCUUACAAAUCGGCACAGAAGCAGUUCCUCCAAAGAAUUAAGAAAACAGUUUUAGAUGUAAGGGCAAGCUGCUCCCUUGAACACAACAGGACAAGAACAGGCUGCGGUGAGGGGUGGUUCUCGAUGGAGGGCCUCUAACUCACCAGAGACCACAGAAGGAACCCACCACUCUGAUCUCACAUAUUUCCCCAUGAUGUGGCUGGACACUGAGAGUCUAAACAACUGGUGUAUCUGAAAGCCUUGGAAUACUAAGCCUCAUCUACAUCAGAAGCUGAGCCUCCAAACACCUGGAUUCGUUGUACAGUGUGUUCAAAAUGACAUCAGUUUAUUUAUGCAGAUUGUAGGAUACCCAGAA